rnacentral:rRNA from 1 species
UCUGAAUCUGCGAACGGCUCCGCAAACCAGUUGUAAACCAUAGCAAGCAUGCCUUGGGUCCGCCGCAAGGUGGAUCCUUGGCGAUAAGGAUAACCCUGGUAAUUCUGAGGCUAAUACAUGAACGUAACCCCUGGCUGACGGGCAACUGGAGGCUGGGGACCGUGCGAGUAGACGCAAAGUUUAUUGGGAGUAGUCGCACAGUAAGACCACCAUACCAAACGGUAUCUGCUUCGCUGCCUCACGGCGGCUGGUGGUGUCCGGGUGGCUCUUGCAAGGUGCUUCUGACCUAUCAACUAGAUGGCAGCGUAACGGACAUGCUAUGGU